UACGUAGGGUGCAAGCGUUGUCCGGAAUUAUUGGGCGUAAAGAGCUCGUAGGCGGUCUGUCGCGUCUGCUGUGAAAACUCGGGGCUUAACCCCGGGCCUGCAGUGGGUACGGGCAGACUAGAGUGCGGUAGGGGAGACUGGAAUUCCUGGUGUAGCGGUGAAAUGCGCAGAUAUCAGGAGGAACACCAGAGGCGAAGGCGGCGACCUGGGCAGAUACUGACACUCAACUACGAAAGCAUGGGGAGCAAACAGG
rnacentral:rRNA from 1 species